rnacentral:rRNA from 1 species
GUCAGCGUAGGUGUGUUCCAUGGUAUUUUUUAAGUGCCGACCAUCCUUUCCGGAAAGGCACGCCUACCCUUCACUGGGCCGGGUGUGUACUUAAACUUUCUGGAUCUUUUACUUUGAAAAAAUUAGAGUGUUUAAAGCAGGCUUUCUAGCAUUUGAAUACAUUAGCAUGGAAUAAUAAGAUAGGACUCUGGUUCUAUUUUGUUGGUUUCUAGGAUUAGAGUAAUGAUUGAUAGGGACAGUUGGGGGUGCUAGUAUUCAACGGC